UACGAAGGGGGCUAGCGUUGCUCGGAAUCACUGGGCGUAAAGGCGCAACGUAGGCGGCUUUGUAAGUUAGAGGUGAAAGCCCGGAGCUCAACUCCGGAACUGCCUUUAAGACUGCAUCGCUUGAAUCCAGGAGAGGUGAGUGGAAUUCCGAGUGGUAGAGGUGAAAUCGUAGAUAUUCGGAAGAACACCAGUGGCGAAGGCGGCUCACUGGACUGGUAGUUGACGCUGACGGUGCGAAACGUGGGGAGCAAA
rnacentral:rRNA from 1 species